rnacentral:tRNA from 1 species
GAUAUUGUCAGAGGGUUCUGGAAUUUGAUUGCAGAUCAAUGUUUUAAGGGUUCAAUUCCCUUCUUUAUCU